rnacentral:rRNA from 1 species
GCUCAGCGCCCGACCUCCAACCCUUUGUUGUUAAAACUACCUUGUUGCUUUGGCGGGACCGCUCGGUCUCGAGCCGCUGGGGAUUCGUCCCAGGCGAGCGCCCGCCAGAGUUAAACCAAACUCUUGUUAUUUAACCGGUCGUCUGAGUUAAAAUUUUGAAUAAAUCAAAACUUUCAACAACGGAUCUCUUGGUUCUCGCAUCGAUGAAGAACGCAGCGAAAUGCGAUAAGUAAUGUGAAUUGCAGAAUUCAGUGAAUCAUCGAAUCUUUGAACGCACAUUGCGCCCCUUGGUAUUCCGAGGGGCAUGCCUGUUCGAGCGUCAUUACACCACUCAAGCUAUGCUUGGUAUUGGGUGCCGUCCUUAGUUGGGCGCGCCUUAAAGACCUCGGCGAGGCCUCACCGGCUUUAGGCGUAGUAGAAUUUAUUCGAACGUCUGUCAAAGGAGAGGACUUCUGCCGACUGAAACCUUUAUUUUUCUAGGUUGACCUCGGAUCAGGUAGGGAUACCCGCUGAACUUAAGCAUAUCAAUAAGCGGAGGA